CAAAGAAACUCUAACCUAGCGGCGCCAAAAGAAACCCCUCCCAGGCUCCCAGCAGCACCAAACCCAGCCCCUCCCACCAGCGCCGAACCCCUUCCUCCCAUCGUCGCUCACCAUCGUGCGCUCACUAGUGUCGAAGAAGGUGCGUGUGGCUAUGAUGAUGAUGAUAAACAACAAUGGCCAAACAAGACAGGGAAGGGAAGGAGGCUGGAGAUUGUAGUUCAUGUGUAGGUGUCAUGCUGGAACUUGCUCCUGGAAAUUUUCAGUGGGCUCAUGGAUUGAAGAGAGGGUGUUAUAUUCUUUAUUCAAUACUGGCGAGAAGGAGGGUGUAUAAAACUCAAAAAAUUUGUGGAUUAAACAUGGAGAACUGUGCCUAUUGUCCAGCAUGCUGUAACCACCUUUUGGGCCUAUGUAAGACCAACUUUGUUCACA